GGGGAAUUAGCUCAGCUGGGAGAGCGCCUGCCUUGCACGCAGGAGGUCAGCGGUUCAAUCCCGCUAUUCUCCA
rnacentral:tRNA from 1 species